rnacentral:rRNA from 1 species
ACGGGUGAGUAAUGCCUAGGAAUCUGCCUGGUAGUGGGGGAUAACGCUCGGAAACGGACGCUAAUACCGCAUACGUCCUACGGGAGAAAGCAGGGGACCUUCGGGCCUUGCGCUAUCAGAUGAGCCUAGGUCGGAUUAGCUAGUUGGUGAGGUAAUGGCUCACCAAGGCGACGAUCCGUAACUGGUCUGAGAGGAUGAUCAGUCACACUGGAACUGAGACACGGUCCAGACUCCUACGGGAGGCAGCAGUGGGGAAUAUUGGACAAUGGGCGAAAGCCUGAUCCAGCCAUGCCGCGUGUGUGAAGAAGGUCUUCGGAUUGUAAAGCACUUUAAGUUGGGAGGAAGGGCAGUUACCUAAUACGUGAUUGUUUUGACGUUACCGACAGAAUAAGCACCGGCUAACUCUGUGCCAGCAGCCGCGGUAAUACAGAGGGUGCAAGCGUUAAUCGGAAUUACUGGGCGUAAAGCGCGCGUAGGUGGUUUGUUAAGUUGAAUGUGAAAUCCCCGGGCUCAACCUGGGAACUGCAUCCAAAACUGGCAAGCUAGAGUAUGGUAGAGGGUGGUGGAAUUUCCUGUGUAGCG